UUUGGGAGGCCGAGGCUGGAAGAUCGCUUGAACCUGGGAGUUUGAGACCAGCCUGGGCAACAUAGUGAGACCUCAUUUCUACAAAAA
rnacentral:miRNA from 1 species